CGGGUAAGUCUUGUACGAUCUGCUCCCUUCUAACUCCCCCAGGGUAGGAAUACAGCAAGGGUACGUCGGUUGUAGCGAUGCGAUGCAAGUAGCUUACCCU
rnacentral:SRP_RNA from 1 species